AACCAGGGCCUGUAGCAAGAUGGGAACACACCAAAUUUAAAGUCGUGCCGAAUGCUUGUCCACAGAAUGGACUACAUGGUCAAGCAGAGAGAACAGCAGCCGUACCGGGCACCACUCUCUGGUUCAGCAACUCCGCCACGGUCGUCAGGUGCGUCCCCCGGGCCGCUGAUCAGAAGCAGGACCAUGAUUAAACAGCUGAGGAGAGGCGAAAGGUUGAUGGCCGAACUGAACACGAUGAAAAACAAAAGCACAGGAUGACGUCACUAUACUGGACACAUACGUUAGCGGUCUGCUUCAUUAUCAGAUGCCUGAAGUCCCCCACUUGAAUUCAAACCUACAAAGAUUUGUCGGCAACGACAGCCAGAGCACCACCCCACGAGUCCACAGAGAGGAAAUCACCAGAUCACUUGAGUUCCCAGACCCUAGAAACCCACCUGACCACAGCCUGUCCCUGGGGCCCAGCUCACCCAGGUACCCUUAUAACCAGCUGCCCAGCAAGGACAUCAGCUCUGACCAAUCGGAAGGUUCCAGUGUUACGGGACUCAUGUACAGCUCAACUAGUGCCAACCUGCACCAAAUGAUCACCAAUGCUAAAAAACUACAUUCCACUUACAUCAGAGACAAGUCAAAGGACAGCAACCUUACAUUGCCGACCAUCCUAAACUAGCAACAACUUGUUUUUAGAAUAUAUAAUUUUUAAGUAUAUUAAAAAAAAAUUAAAAUUGUACUUUCAUAAAAAAAAUGUAACAUUAUGUAUAGAAACAACUUAAUAACAUU